AUUGAACGCUGGCGGCAUGCCUUACACAUGCAAGUCGAACGGUAACAGGUCUUCGGAUGCUGACGAGUGGCGAACGGGUGAGUAAUACAUCGGAACGUGCCUAGUAGUGGGGGAUAACUACUCGAAAGAGUGGCUAAUACCGCAUGAGAUCUACGGAUGAAAGCAGGAGAUCGCAAGACCUUGUGCUACUAGAGCGGCCGAUAGCAGAUUAGGAAGUUGGUGGGAUAAAAGCUUACCAAGCCGACGAUCUGUAGCUGGUCUGAGAGGACGAUCAGCCACACUGGGACUGAGACACGGAGCAGACUCCUACGGGAGGAAGAAGUGGGGAAUGUUGGACAUUGUGCGUAAGCGGGAUCCAGCAAUGUCGCGUGCAGGGUGAAGGCCUUCGGGUUGUAAACUACUAUUGUGCGGAUCGGAAUGCCCUGGGUUAACACCCUGGGGUCAUGACGGUACCGUAAGAAUAAGCACCGGCUAUCUACGUGCCAGCCGCCGCAGUAAAAC
rnacentral:rRNA from 1 species